AAAUGUAAAGCGUUAUGUGGAUCGAACAUUAGUAGAGAAGCGUGUGAGCCAGCUGCCAAGAAAAGCCGCUAUUGUUUCAUAAGUACCCGUACCGUAAACCGACACAGGUGGAUGAGGAGAGAAUCCUAAGGCCGGCGGGAGAAGUGUUGUUAAGGAACUCGGCAAAAAUGACUCCGUAACUUCGGGAGAAGGAGUGCCACAGAGAUGUGGCCGCAGAGAAAUGGCCCAAGCAACUGUUUAGCAAAAACACAGGUCUAUGCAAAACCGAAAGGUGAGGUAUAUGGGCUGACGCCUGCCCGGUGCUGGAAGGUUAAGAGGAGAGGUUAGAGCAAUCGAAGCUUUGAAUUUAAGCCCCAGUAAACGGCGGCCGUAACAAUAACGGUCCUAAGGUAGCGAAAUUCCUUGUCGGGUAAGUUCCGACCCGCACGAAAGGCGUAAUGAUUUGGGCACUGUCUCAACAACACACCCGGUGAAAUUGAAAUACCAGUGAAGAUGCUGGUUACCUGCGCCAGGACGGAAAGACCCCAUGGAGCUUUACUCCAGUUUGAUACUGGGAUUCGGUACUGUCUGUACAGGAUAGGUGGGAGGCUAGGAAAUGGUGACGCCAGUUGCCAUGGAGCCAACCUUGGGAUACCACCCUUACAGUACUGGGUUUCUAACCUGCAGCCGUAACCCGGCUGGGGGACAAUGUCUGACGGGGAGUUUGACUGGGGCGGUCGCCUCCGAAAGAGUAUCGGAGGCGCUCAAAGGUUCCCUCAGAACGGUUGGAAACCGUUCGAAGAGUGCAAAGGCAGAAGGGAGCUUGACUGCGACACCGACGGGUGGAGCAGAUACGAAAGUAGGACUUAGUGAUCCGGUGGUAUAAAGUGGGAUUGCCAUCGCUCAACGGAUAAAAGCUACCCUGGGAUAACAGGCUUAUCACUCCCAAGAGUUCACAUCGACGGAGUGGUUUGGCACCUCGAUGUCGGCUCAUCGCAUCCUGGAGCUGUAGCAGGUUCCAAGGGAUGGGCUGUUCGCCCAUUAAAGCGGUACGCGAGCUGGGUUCAGAACGUCGUGAGACAGUUCGGUCCCUAUCCGGCGUGGGCGUAGGACAUUUGAGAGGAGCUGUCCUUAGUACGAGAGGACCGGGAUGGACAAACCUCUGGUGUAUCUGUUGUUUUACCAAAGGCAUGGCAGAGUAGCCAAGUUUGGCAGGGAUAAACGCUGAAGGCAUCUAAGCGUGAAGCCCCCCUCAAGAUAAGAUAUCCCAUCUUCGGAGUAAGACCCCUUGAAGACUACAAGGUUGAUAGGCUUCAGGUGUAAGUGCGGUAACGCACUCAGCUGAGAAGUACUAAUAGGUCGAGGACUUAUCUA
rnacentral:rRNA from 1 species